rnacentral:lncRNA from 12 species
UCUUCUGAUUCUGUGUACUUUAAGUCCCUUGACUUCCCUGGAACUUGUCCGUCUAUCUGGUCUUCUGGGGGAGGGGCCUGUUGUGCUGAUUUUCAGGUGUUAGCACUUGGGGGAGCUGCUCUGCCCUUGCCUGGUGCAGGGCUCAGUGGGGGUUGUUUACCCCGUGAGGCCCCAGGAGGAACAGCCCCAGUGGCGGGGCCAGCUCUGCAGCCCUGGAUUCAGCCCCGCAGUAGCUCCGGAGCUCUCGGUCUGCAGGGCCUGGAGGCUUCGGGCGGGGCCGCUGAUCUGCUCAGCUGGGGCAGGAGCGUCCUCGCUGUCCUGGGCCCUCCCGGCCUCUGCCUGUCCCGGGGGAGGCCGGAUCCUGGGCUGUGUCCCGGCGCCCUGUGUUCCGGGGCCUGCGCUGUUGGAUUCGUGCUCCCGCCCCGCAGCCCCCUCCGCGGAGCCGCCCCCGAGCCCCCCCGAGCCCCUCCGAGCUGCUCCGGGUCCCCCGUGCGCGCUGCAGCCCUUAGGGAGCUCGGCGCACUCUCCCGGGGCGCAGGUGUCUGUUAGUGUCCCCGGGAGCCCGAGGGCAUCCCCGCCCUCCUGGGUCCUGCUCCACCUCCCCGCGAGCCCCUUUCCGCCCGGGAAGGUCGGUGCAGCUCCUGCUUCUCUGGGACGGGGCUCUCCUGUCCUGGGGACACUCGCCCCGGCCUCAGCCCGGCUCCUCGCGGGGCCCCUCCCCCUUGGAGGCCUUUGUUUCUUUAUUUCUUUUUCUCCGUCUUCCUACCUUGGUAGAAGCGUGAACUCCUCUCACUGUAGCAUUCCAGCUGGUCUCUCUUUAAAUCUCAGGCUGAAUUCGUAGAUUUUCAGGAUGAUUUGAAGGUUAUCUAGGUAAUUUGGUGGGGACAGGUGACUUGGGGACCCUACUCUUCUGCCAUCUUGCCCCUCCUCUCCUCAAUUUCUUUCCUACAGUUAAUAAUCUUUUAUGUUUGCUUCCCUCUGUGUUUUCAUCUAAUUCUAUUUUUCCUUCCCUUCCCAUAUGUUCAUCUGUUUUGUUUCUUAAAUUCCACAUGGGAGGGAAACCUUAGGGUAUUUGUCUUUCUCUGAC